rfam:Virgibacillus soli strain PL205 scaffold000002, whole genome shotgun sequence.
AUUGAAUCAUUAUUUAUUGAAUGUAUAUGUUUGGGAAUAUGGCCCAAUCGUUUCUACCAGGUAACCGUAAAUUGCCGGACUACAUGAAUGAGGAUAGAAUAA